CAAUAGCGUAUAUUAAAGUUGUUGCAGUUAAAAAGCUCGUAGUUGGAUUUCUGGGAGGGUGCCGAUGUCCGCUUAACGUGUGUGCAGCGGCGCCCUCUCAUCCUUCUGUUAGCGUCUCUUGGCAUUCAUUUGCUGGUGGCGGGCUCAGAUAUUUUACCUUGAGAAAAUUAGAGUGUUUCAGGCAGGCUAGGCCGGAAUACAUUAGCAUGGAAUAAUGGAAUAGGACUACGGUCUCUUUGUUGGUUUGAGGGACUGCAGUAAUGAUUAAUAGGGAUAGUUGGGGGCAUUAGUACUUAACUGUCAGAGGUGGAAUUCUCAGAUUUGUUAAAGACUGACUUAUGCGAAAGCAUUUGCCAAGGAUGUUUUCAUUAAUCAAGAACGAAAAGUUAGGGGGAUCAAAAGAUAGAUACGAGUAACCGUACCUAGUACGUACGUAGGACCUAAGGGCCCAAACGGACCAAC
rnacentral:rRNA from 1 species